GUCCACACCGUAAACGAUGAUUACUAGAUGUUCGGGGUAACCCUGAGUGUCCAAGGGAAACCGAUAAGUAAUCCACCUGGGGAGUACGACCGCAAGGUUGAAACUCAAAGGAAUUGACGGGGGCCCGGCACAAGCGGUGGAGCAUGUGGUUUAAUUCGAUGGUACGCGAGGAACCUUACCUGGGCUAGAAUGCGCGUGUCUGACCGGGAAACCGGUCAUCCCCGCCAAGGGGCACAAAGCAAGGUGCUGCAUGGCUGUCGU
rnacentral:rRNA from 1 species